rnacentral:tRNA from 1 species
UGUCCCUGUAGCGCAAUGGAUUGCGUUUUGGACUUCUAAUGCAAAGGGCGUGGGUUCGAAUCCCACCUGGGUAG